AUUAGCCACUUAUUUAAUUUAUAUGCGUUUGUUCUCUAAUCACUAAACUCAGCCCCUGUUCUCGUUACUCUGUUUUUAUUUUAUUAACAAAUCGCUUUUCUUCCUUUUCUGAUUUCUAGAGAAAACAAAAACCCCUUUUCGAUUGCAGUUUAUUAACUAUACACGCGCCUACUGUUUCUUCUUUCUUUUAUUUUGUUAACUGCGAGUUUCAUCCUUUGUACUGCUGCGUUUAGUGCAUAGUUUAGUCAGAUUUCGUACCGAGUCCAACCUCCGAGUCGCGUCCUGGGUUUGAGUAGUUAUAUCAGUAGUUGUUCGUUGCUGAUAGUCCUGGUUUUGUCCGAGUUAGCACCGAGUUGUUUCCGAGUUUCAUCUGAGUUGAGUUCUUUGUUUUUAAUGCUGAGUUUUAGUGUGGUUUGCUUUGUCGAGUUCUGCAGAUGGUCUCAGUCGAGUCUUUUGUUUUGGGUUGUAUUUAAUCGAGUCUUUAGAUGAGUUGUGUGUUUCGCUGAGUUUGUGUAUUGUUGGCUGCGUUUUAGUCUAGUUUUAAGACUGGUUUCUUUGAGUUUAUUUCAAAGUUUUCAAUCGAUUGUUGGCUUUUGUUUGUUAGUUUCCUGCUGUGCUUUCUUUUACUGAGUCCCCUGUUUCUUCCCGAGUCCAAAGCUGAGUUCGUUUCUUGAAAGCUUAGUUUGGAUCGGCUUUUUUUGGCUGCGUCGAGUUUGUGGGUCGAGUCUCCUCUGCUUUGUUGAGUCUGUUCUUAGCCAGUAGCUGUGUCGCAAGCCGAGUUUAUUCCGAGUUAAUUCAACGAGUCCAUGUUCUUUUACCGAGUUGUUUUGAUUAGUUCAUGUUUUUCGAGUUGUUGGCUUGCUUCGUUUCUUUUAUUUUUAAGUCUAGCAGUGGAGUAUAACUUUCUGUAGUUUUCUUUUAUUUCCUUUGUAGCGUCUAUGUUAGUUUACUAGGUUCAGUGACCCCGCGUUUAGCUUGGUGUAGGAAUUGUUUUUGUGAGUGUAUUUAGUACAUGUGCCUAGUUUAUUUCAUUUUAUAUUUCUUUUAGAUUAAGUAAAUGGCUGGGUAGUCAUUAGUCAACGUGGUUAUCUUCUGUUGAUAAUAAUAUGUUAUAGGCUAGCUUAGUUUUUAGAGAUAUUAUGCAGAAAGUUUCUUAAUUAUUUGUAACUUUUAAGUCGUGUAUUUGCGAGUUUAAUUUUAGUUAAUUUCUAGUUUAAUUGGUUGUAUUCGAAUUAGUAGUCAAUUUCUCCUGCUCAUUAAUUAGCUAAUAAACCCGAAAUUCUAAAAAUUUGGUUCUAAUCCGCCUAGGUUAAUAAUAAUAGGUUGCGAAAAUAAUUUUAAUCUCGGUGGACGAAUCUUAAAUAUUAAAACGGUGAUCGUGCGCUUGCGAUUUAAAUGUAUUAUUUAGAGCACAUCAGAGCUGAAGCUAAAUACUUAGAGUUUCAGCCUUUUCAAAUAUGUAACUGAAGUAGUAAAGUUAGAGUAAUACAUUAACAGGAGACUUUUCGAGGAAUUUCAAAAUUCCAGAAUUAACUAACACUGAAAUCCUAUCAUUUGAGAGAAAAUAGACAUGGGAGUCUAGGAAUUGAGGAAAUGUAAAAGAGGAGAUUUGAGAGGCUACACGUCAUCCUCUUUGGGAUCCUUUUUAUAUAAAUAUAAUAUAAAGAUAGGUAAAAAAAAUUGGAAAGGAAUGAUAUACACGGCGCAGAGUAUAAAGUUUUCUCCCCUGCAAGAGGAGCAUGAUUGAAAGAUGCAAUUUGGGAGCUUAGCUUCUAACAAAUGCGGAAACAUGUAUGAUUUCAGGCUCGGUGUCGCUCUAUUCUUUUACGUGUCAUAAUUUAAUUUUCCUCUGAGUUGAUGUUGCUAGAGUUUUAGAAUAAGAUGGCAGCCACAGCUACCUUGAGGGUUCUUCCUUUAUGAUUUCGGUUUAACCUAUUGUGUCACAUUAUUCAAGGAGAGUAAGAAGAAAAGAAACAAGGUUUGUUUGAGUUAAUAGACAAAACUAAUUGUGUAUGCAUGACUGCAUGUGCUUGUAUAGUUGUAUGUGUGCCUGAUUGCUUGUGUGUUGCUCUUCAUCCUUAUUCCCUAGCCUGCCAUAGUUUUAAACUUGUGACAACAUUUAAGCUGGAGUAAUUGUGGCAAAAAAGAAAAAAAUUAUAAUUCAGUGAUAGGUUUCUAAACAAAUAAUAAGUUGGGUGACAAAAAAAUCUAUUUUCCCUAUUAUUAAUAUCAUUCUAUAGUAUACAAUUUAUUUUUUCUCAUACAUGCUCCAAAUUAUUUGGCGUUGGGUGUUAAUGGCCCAUCUCAACUCGGACAACUAACUUUUAUAUCCCUCACAUUGAUCAGCUAGCUAGCACCCUGCGACAAUCAUCGAGUUUUGACCUCAUAUACUACGUGAUCAACUUCCCCUAGGUCCAGUGAGAACCCUCCUAAAAAUCAUCGUAAUUUAGGAUCUGAUGCGAGUGCUAGGCUGCUAGUGGACUUUCCAAAGAAAGCCCGUUCCACUUCCACAACCAACAGGGACCAAGUUUUUUGACCUUUUUGGGCAGUUAACAAUUUAGAAGAAAAGAUUUCCUGAGCAUAAAUCAUGUCAUUAAUCUGGGUCAAAAGGUUAAGGCUACUGGAUUUGAAGAAUUGAAUACAACUGGACUUUAUGAACGAAAAAACCCCUUAAGAAUCCAAAUUGAAUACACCCCCCUUAUAUUAUAUACACUAAAGUUGAGUCAUCAAUUAUAAUGCUGAAUCUUAUCUCUUAUCGCAUAAAUUUUGUGGUCUGGUCUCAUGGUCUGAGUAUAUAAGUUGAGUGCUGACUGAAUAAAUUCCCAUAUUUUCUAACUCGUCAUCAACAGAAUAUAUAAUAGUUAAGCAACUCUCUUGACGAAUAUAUUUCUGAAGGAUAAUUAGCAUUAAUUUUUUUGGAGUAGCUGCCUACUACCUUUGAACAAAUACUUUAUGUUCUAGUAGUUGAUUAAAUUUUUUUUAUAUACCUUCUUAUGUUUAUUAAUCUUUCUAAUGUGUUAUACCAUGACUACAUAUUAGUGUUCACCUUCUUGAAAUUGUUCAGAUAUGUUAUGGCAGAGCCACACUGACACCAAGGGGGCAAAUGUUCCUGAAUUUUUAGUCAAGUACCAAAUAUCACUAACAAUAACACUGAUAUUGAGUAGCUGAGGUGGUUUGGCCCAUAAAUGUUGCACAUAAGAUCUAGAAAACAACAUAUUAGUAUAUUGUGUGCUUGUAUAACUUCUUGACGUUUGUGCACAUAAGAGCAACUCCAAUGGUACGCAUCCCCUGAGGAGUGCCAACUAAGUCACAUAAUGAAAAACAUCAUUUUGUAUAUCCUCUCAUUUCCACAUCAUUUUUAGCAUCCAUUUUCCAAAAUAUGCUCCAAUGGUUGGCACCCCUAGAUACCCCUUGUUGGAGUUGCUCUGAGAAUCUCAUUAUCCUCUUGUAAUGGUAUGAUUACUUGAACAACCCGAGCAAGACAGCAUAGUAUUAAAUAAAUACUAUGCAAUUAUAUGCCAUCAGUUAUUGCCACAAAAAUUGACAUCCUUAAUCUUAUUACAGAAGUUACCGUUGUUUUGCUAGCUAUUCAUUUUUACAUGUAGCAUGUGCUGCUGACUGGCUCUAGACGAAGAACCACAUCUGACUGAACUUUCUUAUCAUCUCGUGUGCAUUACAACGGCCUGAAGAUAGAUGGUGAAAUCUUUAGAUAGUAAGAAGACUAUACAAUGACCAGCUGGUGGGAAAAGAAUCAUGACCAAGCUUCAUCUACGAGCUUUAUGGCAUUUGAGAUAGCAUCAGGCUCGCCAGUGAGGAAGCCUUUCAAGUCAAUGGGAGGCACAACAAGUGGAGGUGUCUGUGGCUGAUCAGCAGAAGGCUUUUCGUGGUCAGGCCAUAUGAACUGUGCUGGAAACAGAAGCAUAUCUCAGGGUAAUAAAUUGCAGCACAUCUCAGAUCACUGUGAAAUACUCUAACAAAGUUUCACUAUUCAAGAUUGGGAAAUGUAUGUGUGCGCACUUGAACAGACGUCUGUCUUUCUUUCUACACGGAACAGUGACUUAUUAUACGGAUGGCUCAACAUGACUAAUGUCUGGGGGCAACCAACCAUGGAUAUACAAGGACGAUCACCCUAUCAGUUUGAUAAGAAUCUGUGUCAGCUGUCUUUGAAUUCUUGCGAAAAAGUAUCACUCAUCGGAAGAAAUUUAACAAUGCAAUUUGACAGUUGCGGUCUAUAAUAAGUCCUUGAAACAUAAGAGACAAGAAGUUUGAAAGUAGGAGGGAAAAAAGAAGUAAAUAUGAUUGCUAAUGGAUUCAGGAAGAUUAUGUUGUCCAAAGGGAUUCAGAAUAUAUAUUUGUUAGGGCAUAACUCAUCUUAUCACACUAGUACAUCAUGCCUCGAGACAGAUGAGAACAUUGCCUUGCUUCAGGCCCCCGAACAAACAAAUAAAGGACUCCGAAUCUCAGUUUUCUUGGCUGCACAUACUUUAUUUCAUUAGGGUAACCACUGUACAGAAUGAAGCUGUAAAAUAUUCAGGACAAAUUUUAUUAUACUUCUACUUCUUAUUUGUUAAAGAAUUCCAGGAAGAAGUAAAUAAUCUAUCUGUGUAAAACUGGCCAGAGUUUAUAAAACGUUUCUUACUUUUAUUUGGAAAA